rnacentral:lncRNA from 1 species
UUUCAUAAUUCUAAAUACAAAAAAAAUUAAGUAUAAAACAAACAUUAAAAAAUGUAAAAGACAAGCCAAACUUGCUAUCCACAAAGAAAGUAGCGCAAGCAUUAAACAUCUGUCAUUUGAUAUCAGGAGAUUCUCAAAAGCAAAUGCAUAUAAUCACUACCAAAAUUUACAUUCUAGUUUCAUAUACACUUUGCUUAAUCCUCCAAAGUUAAACAUAUAACUAACCAUCACAUAACAAAAAAUAGAAGUAUGUCAAAUCACUUCGGUAUAAUGAAUUUCAAAUGGAUCAGAUUAUUUGGCUUGAUUUCUCAAAAGAGAAACAAAUUCGCACAGUAUGUUCAGCUUCGAUCAUCUGGGGAAAUAAUCAUCAAAUCCAAAUUAUAUUCCAUAUAAAAAACUAAGAAAUUAAUAUUACAAAUAGAAACAAAUAUCAUUCCUCGCUGCACUGGACUCCUUCUCUCACAUGACAUUUUCUUCUACAUGUAAUUGGUUAACGCUUUCAUGUAAUCGACUACAACCUGUUUUUGUAGUAUUCCAAGAAUUGAUGUUGUUUCUGUCCCGCAACUUGUUGAUGAUGCAUUCACCUUCUGUGAUCAUGACUAAGAUUGUGUUCUCUUUAUCAAACUAUUGUCUUGCAACCUUAGCUUCAUCUCCUUGAGGCUCCUUCUUAUUUGCAUUGCACUCUUUGCAAAAUGAAUGAACCUUUGACACUUAAAGAUUUUUCUUUGCUUUUUUUCAAACCUCUUUUGUUCACCUCUAAUGUUGUCUUGAACGCCAUUUUUGUUGCAGCUACUCUCACCCAUUUAACAAGUCGACUUCUUGGAAUUUUGGGACUCUCUUCCACCAAAAUUCAGAAAAUUUCUUUUACUCUUCAUGGGUCAUUUUUCUUUUGAUCUCUUGUCCUUCUCGUUGAAGCGAGCUUGCAAAGCAAUCUCCGUCUUUGACUUACCAUUAUUUCUUUAUAGGUCCGCAAGUUUACGAAAAUAUCGUAUUAAUAUAAAAAAUAUCGAACCCACAUAGACCAAUUAUCAACCUACUGUUAUCUUUUGUUAUUAUAUAAAUCUAAGGCUUUUGAUAAUAAUUUUUGGGUGCUAAAGAAAGAAAUAAGCUAGUUUUAAAAAUCAAUUAAGAGAAGAAAAUCGGAAUGUGGUUCUCAUCGAUCAAUAGUACUCGCGAAGUCGUUUAGUUUAUAAUUAAGUUGGGAUAAUAUUUUCUCAUAAGAUAAAGGAUUAAUUUAAAGGAAUUGUUUGUUUUCACACACAGUUUUUAGCCUCUGUACGGCCGUUUUCGCAUAUUCAGCGUGUUAAAGUGCAAAAAUUCAUUUUGAAAAUUAAUUGCUUUUAAUUAUUUGAAAAUUCGUUUAAGGUGGAAAAAAAGUUUAAGGUAUUAUCAAAUUUCGCGUGUCUAUUUAUGUUCUUAAAAUUUUCUUUUUGAAAAUUGUUAUUUUUACUAUUUAAUUAAAAAGUGUUUUCGCUUUGUUAAUAAUUAAAAAUUGAUUUUUUUUGUACAGUUGGAACAUUUUUAUUUUUUCGAAUCGGAGUUGGUAUCUCUAAGUUAUGAUUUUGCAAAGAACAAAUUAAUUGAAAAUAUAAAUAAAAUCAUUUCAUUAAACAAAUCUUAUUUUAAUCAUAAUUUUUAUGAUCUAUAUGUGAGUAUCGUAGGUACAACGGUCCCCACAUUCUGGACUCGGUAGAUUUAGCCGGACAUCAUUAAAACAAGACAUAAACAGUAAUGAAAAUUAAAUCUAAACAUACUAAUUAUAACAAUAUAACAUAAACACGUGCAUGUAGUAUAAGAGAAAUUAUGAAUGAUUUUACAAAAUUAUCUUUCAUUAAUAAUAUUGAAAAGAGAAACUGAUAUAAUUGAAAGAAAGAGAAUAAUAAAUAUUUAAGGAUAUAAUAGAAAAAAUAUCAUUAAUGAUACAUUGAUAUUAUAAAACAACUUAUAUUGUAGUAUAAAAUAUUCUUUCAAAUUGACUUAUAAUAAAAAACGGAAGUAGUACUAAAUAAUAAAAACAGUCAAGAAGAAUUUUGAUAUAGAACUGAAUACACAAUAUAAUAAUAAUAAUAAUAAUAAUAAUAAUAAUAAUAAUAAUAAUAAUAAUGAAAAAGUUCAAAGCAGAAACAAAAGAAAUGUUGGAAUAAAAAUAUGGAAAGUUAAUGCCGACAAAAUUAAAAUACAAACAAUCCAAUAAUAGUCUGAAAUUUUGUAGAAUCUAAAUCUAAAAUGAAGCAAUCUCUCAGUGUGAGAAAAUAAUCACUUUAACAAAAGUAAAUUCCGGCCUAAAAUAAAAAUUUAAAAGCUUUGAUAUUGAAAACCUAGAAGAAUUAGUCUCAAGCUACACAUAUUCCAACCAUUUUUGUAUAGUACUCAUAUCUUAUUGCAAUGUGUUUUAUCCGAAGAUAAUGAAGGUCCAAUGUUGUUUUUAGGUUGGGGCUAACAUUGGCUUACAUCUUUGUCAGAUUUUUUUUGAAAUUUUAACCUGCAAGGGGGACUAAAUAUAUUGCAGGUUAUAUGAGGUAUUUUCUAGGUUCGUAUAAAUAAAAUCAAACAUAUCUUUUCUUCUAGGAUUGAUUCAUGAAAAGUGCAAUAUAUUUCAAAAUAAUCUGACAAAGAUGUAAGCCAAUGUUAGCCCGAACCUAAAAACAUUCGACCUACAUUAUCUUCAAUGGGUUACCCAUUUAUCAAUAUCUCUAAAAGGACAAAAAAAUAAAAAACUUUAUCUUUAUAUUACUUCACAGAUUUUUAAAAUAAAAAUAAAACAGAAAACACUUUUAUACUAGGUAUUUCAAUAAAAUUCUUUGAAUAAUAAAGACAGAUUAUAUCAAUUUUAUUUAAAUGUUCUUAUUUAAAAUUAAUUGCAAGACAAUCAAUUUUAUUUCAAACAGUCAAAGUCAAACUCAUCGCAAGACAAGAAGGUAGCCGAAAUCCUAUAAGGAGCAUGCUGAAAGGAGAUUACAAAUGAUGCUGAAAACUUGCCAAAUGACCUAUAAAGAGUUUUCCCUCAAUUUGUUACCGUUAUAGGAUUGAUUCCAUAUGAUCCUGAAAUGAACAAUAAGGAGAUUGCUAUCCAUUGCUCUCAAUCCGGAUGCUGAAAAAUGCCAAAUGACCAUUAAGGAGAUUGCUCUCAAUUACUCUCACUUGUGAUACAGAAAAACUGCCAAACGACCUUAAGGAUCACGCUUCCUUAUCAAGCAAAGUCAGCCCAAUAUUUUGCCACAUCUUGGGUGGAAUGCGCCUCAACUUGAGGGUUUCUUUGAUUACUUGGGAGUACUGAAUCUUUGAUUACUUGGAGUACUGAAUCAAAAUCUAGACGAAUGUCGGACCUGAUUCCAACGGUUGUCUCCAUCAACACAUCAUGGUUAGUAAUGAAUAAAUCAUGCAAAUAACCCUUACAUUCAUUAAGUUGUUAGUAAUUGCAUUAAUUCAUGGAAAUAACCCCCAACAAUUCUAAUAGGUAGAUGAUAAGGGAGUCAAUAAAAGCAAAAUAUCUAAAACCUUGAUUGACACCGAAAUACUACAGGUUUAAUUUAACUUUAAAAAACUAAUUUCAUAAUUCUAAAUACAAAAAAAAUUAAGUAUAAAACAAACAUUAAAAAAUGUAAAAGACAAGCCAAACUCGCUAUCCACAAAGAAAGUAGCGCAAGCAUUAAACAUCUGUCAUUUGAUAUCAGGAGAUUCUCAAAAGCAAAUGCAUAUAAUCACUACCAAAAUUUACAUUCGGGUUUCAUAUACACUUUGCUUAAUCCUCCAAAGUUAAAAAUACAACUAACCAUCACAUCACAAAAACUAGAAGUAAGGUAAAUAACUUCGGUAUAAUGAAUUUCAAAUGGAUCAGAUUAUUUGGCUUGAUUUCUCAAAAGAGAAACAAAUUCGCACAGUAUGUUCAGCUUCGAUCAUCUGGGGAAAUAAUCAUCAAAUCCAAAUUAUAUUCCAUAUAAAAAAACUGAGCAAUUAAAAUUACAAAUAGAAACAAAUAACACAAAUAAACAUUGAUAACUACUAAUUACUAUGGGUCAGAUUAUUUGGCUUGAUUUCUCCAAAGAGAAACAAAUUCGCACAGUUUUUUCAGCUUCGAUCAUCUGGGGAAAUUAUCAUCACACCCAAAAAGUAAAAUUACAAUGCAACCUAAGCAUUAACUUAUCAUGUUAUUCACUAAUACACUUCAAAACAAUUAUUUAAAAAAAAAGACAUAUUAGAAUUGUAACAAUGGAUCAGAUUAUUUGGCUUGAUUUCUCAAAAGAGAAACAAAUUCGCACAGUAUGUUCAGUUUCGAUCAUCUGGGGAAAAAAUCAUCACAUCCAAUUACCAAACAACUCUUAUGAUGUAAAAAUUGAACAUAAUGACACAAAAUUCACAGCCAUUGAUUUUGAAUCAAAUUUCAGUACAACAAAAUGGAUCAGAUAAUUUGGCUUGAUUUCUCAAAAGAGAAACAAAAUUCGCACAGUAUCAUCAGUUUCGAUCACCUGGGGAAAUUAUCAUCACAUCCAAUUUAUCAAUAAAACAGAUCUUUCGCAUUCAACUCAUCAGCAAUAAACACAAUCCCGAUAAAUAAACAAAAAUUAAUGAAUCAGAAAAAAAAUUCAACAAGAGGGAGAAUAUUCCUAUCUGCAAUAGAACUGAAUCAAACAAAAGAAAACAGAGCUUAAAGAAUUGCAGAGAGAAAUCGAUUUGGCGUCAGCUCAUACUCAAAGCUCACACGAUUCAGAGCAUUGGUAAUCAGUAUUUUGACGCUAAAAAAAUUAGGCAAACCCUAAAUCGAAAAUUGAAACAACCACUGCAAAAGACAGAAGCUAUGAGAGAGUGUAAUUGAUAAUAUUAGAGAAGAGAGGCGAAGGUGUUUAUAAAGGAGAAAACGAAAGAAAGAGUCUGCGGCUACAAAACCCUAAUUUAGUUUGUGCGAAAGAAACCCGGGUUGGCCUUCAAGAUUGGAUUAGCCCAUAUAUUCUAAUGGCCCAGCAUAAAAGUUGAAAGAAA